rnacentral:rRNA from 1 species
AUGAAGGAUGAAGCUAAUGAGGUUGUGGAGGCGAUUGCCAAGAAGAUUGUCCAAGACAUGCCCUAUGAGGCGCGCGUUGAUGCUGUGGUGAAGUAUUUCGCGCACGAACGCAAAAUGCUUCUCAAAAAGUCUCUAGCCCGGAGAGUGCAUCUCAUCCGUUCCAUGUACAUGAAGGCGGUUCCCUCGUGGUGCAACAACAAUGUUCCUUGCUACCAGCAAAUCAUAUCCAAAUGGAUAGACCCGAAGUGGAGGGCCCAACAUCGAAUGGCUUCGGAGCGGCGUGCCUUGAUGGGUGGUCCGGUAAACCUUCAAGGCAACCUCAACCUCCACGCUUACGUGCAGAAGAAGAGUAGGGAGAGAGGUGAGGGCCAAGAGAAGCUCAAUACCUUCACGGGAUUAUGUCUCUCCCGCAAGUCAAAGAAGCCGGAAGGGGGGUGGGUCAACCCAGGCGCUGGCUUGAGGAUUGAUGCAUACAGUGGGAAGUUCAAGGAGCACAACGGGCCUGACUCCGAUCCGGCCUCACAGGACAUUGACGCUACAAUUUCCCUCCAGUUGGAAGACGGCAAGAAGGGUGGUCGGUUAUAUGUUGGCGACGGUGCCAUCCGUAAGAAGGACAUCCCAAAACUCUCUCACCUCCGUGCUACCACGUCGAGCUCAGGUCCUGCUAUAGAGCUUCGCCCACAGCCUGGGCUGCACAUGCUCCAUCAACUCGAGGUAUCUUUUGCUUCAUCG